rnacentral:misc_RNA from 1 species
UCCGAGUUGACCCCGGCAGUCUCCUGGUAGUCCACGCCCUAAACGAUGCCAACUGGACGUUGGGCUCACUUCGGAGCUCAGUGUCGAAGCUAACGCGUUAAGUUGGCCGCCUGGGGAGUACGGUCGCAAGACUGAAACUCAAAGGAAUUGACGGGGGCCCGCACAAGCGGUGGAGUAUGUGGUUUAAUUCGAUGCAACGCGAAGAACCUUACCUGGCCUUGACAUCCACGGAACCCUUGAGAGAUCGAGGGGUGCCUUCGGGAACCGUGAGACAGGUGCUGCAUGGCUGUCG